rnacentral:rRNA from 1 species
UACAGAGGGGGCAAGCGUUAUUCGGAAUUAUUGGGCGUAAAGCGCACGUAGGCGGACUCUUAAGUCGGUGGUGAAAUCCUGGAGCUCAACUCCAGAACUGCCUUUGAUACUGGCGGCCUUGAGUCCGGGAGAGGUGAGUGGAACUGCGAGUGUAGAGGUGAAAUUCGUAGAUAUUCGCAAGAACACCAGUGGCGAAGGCGGCUCACUGGCCCGGUACUGACGCUGAGGUGCGAAAGCGUGGGGAGCAAACAGG